rnacentral:rRNA from 1 species
UGUGUAGGCGGUGUUCUAAGUCUGUUGUGAAAUCUCCCGGCUUAACUGGGAGGGUGCGGCGGAAACUGGAAUGCUUGAGGGUGGGAGAGGUAAGCGGAAUUCCUGGUGUAGCGGUGAAAUGCGUAGAUAUCAGGAGGAACACCUGUGGUGUAGACAGCUUACUGGACCACUUCUGACGCUGAGACACGAAAGCGUGGGUAGCAAACA